AGAGUUUGAUCCUGGCUCAGGACGAACGCUGGCGGCGCGCUUAACACAUGCAAGUCGAGCGAGAACCGGGACUUCGGUCCCGGGGACAGCGGCGAACGGGUGAGUAACACGUGGGUAAUCUGCCCUCGAUUCUGGGAUAGCCCGGGGAAACCCGGAUUAAUACCGGAUAGCCUUUCGUGCUUUCGGGCGUGAAAGAAAAGGUAGCUUCGGCCUCCGAUCGAGGAUGAGCCCGCGGUGGAUUAGCUUGUUGGUGGGGUAACGGCCCACCAAGGCGACGAUCCAUAGCUGGUCUGAGAGGACGAUCAGCCACACUGGGACUGAGACACGGCCCAGACUCCUACGGGAGGCAGCAGUGGGGAAUCUUGCGCAAUGGGCGAAAGCCUGACGCAGCGACGCCGCGUGGGGGAAGAAGGCCUUAGGGUUGUAAACCUCUUUCAGGUGGGACGAAGCCACUCGGGUGAAUAGCCCAGAGGGUGACGGUACCGCCAGAAGAAGCCCCGGCUAACUACGUGCCAGCAGCCGCGGUA
rnacentral:rRNA from 1 species